rnacentral:rRNA from 1 species
ACGAUGGAGCUUGCUCCAGGCGUCGAGCGGCGGACGGGUGAGUAAUGCAUAGGAAUCUGCCCGGUAGUGGGGGAUAACCUGGGGAAACCCAGGCUAAUACCGCAUACGUCCUACGGGAGAAAGCAGGGGAUUUUCGGACCUUGCGCUAUCGGAUGAGCCUAUGUCGGAUUAGCUUGUUGGUGAGGUAAUGGCUCACCAAGGCGACGAUCCGUAGCUGGUCUGAGAGGAUGAUCAGCCACAUCGGGACUGAGACACGGCCCGAACUCCUACGGGAGGCAGCAGUGGGGAAUAUUGGACAAUGGGCGCAAGCCUGAUCCAGCCAUGCCGCGUGUGUGAAGAAGGCUUUCGGGUUGUAAAGCACUUUCAGUGAGGAAGAACGCCUUGGGGCCAAUACCCCCGAGGAAG